rnacentral:rRNA from 1 species
AUUGAACGCUGGCGGCAUGCCUAACACAUGCAAGUCGAACGGGGGUAGCGAUACCCUAGUGGCGGACGGGUGAGGAACGCGUAGGAAUUGGCCCACGAGUGGGGGACAACCUGGGGAAACCCAGGCUAAUACCGCAUACGCUCGCGAGAGGAAAGCGGGGGAUCUACGGACCUCGCGCUGGUGGACAAGCCUACGUCCGAUUAGCUAGUUGGCAGGGUAAAAGCCUACCAAGGCGACGAUCGGUAGCUGGUCUGAGAGGAUGAUCAGCCACACUGGGACUGAGACACGGCCCAGACUCCUACGGGAGGCAGCAGUGGGGGAAUAUUGGACAAUGGGCGCAAGCCUGAUCCAGCCAUACCGCGUGUGUGAAGAAGGCCUUCACCCACG